AUAUCAAUCAUAGUACAUAUACUAAAAAUUGGAAUGAUACAGAGAAGAUUAGCUUGGUGCCUGCACAAAGGAUGCCAUGCAAAUUCAUGAAGUGUCCCAUAUAAAA
ensembl:snRNA U6 U6 spliceosomal RNA